rnacentral:tRNA from 1 species
GGGCUGGUAGCUCAGUUGGUUAAAGCACCGCCAUAUAUUGUCAAGGUCCUGGGUUCAAUCCCCGGCUGGUCCA